CCUACGGGAGGCAGCAGUAAGGAAUAUUGGUCAAUGGGCGCAAGCCUGAACCAGCCAUGCCGCGUGCAGGAAGACGGCCCUAUGGGUUGUAAACUGCUUUUGAACAAGAGAAAACCUCGGUACGUGUACCGAGCUGAUAGUAUUGUUAGAAUAAGCAUCGGCUAACUUCGUGCCAGCAGCCGCGGUAAGACGAAGGAUGCAAGCGUUAUCCGGAUUCAUUGGGUUUAAAGGGUGCGUAGGCGGCCUGAUAAGUCAGUGGUGAAAUCUCUCAGCUUAACUGGGAAACUGCCAUUGAUACUGUCGGGCUUGAGUACAGAUGAUGUGGGCGGAAUAUGACAUGUAGUGGUGAAAUACUUAGAUAUGUCAUAGAACACCGAUUGCGAAGGCAGCUCACAAAACUGUAACUGACGCUGAGGCACGAAAGUGCGGGGAUCAAACAGGAUUAGAUACCCUGGUAGUCCGCACCGUAAACGAUGAUUACUCGUUGUUGGCAAUAUGACCGUCAGCGACCGACGACGAACGACGAGUAAGUAAUACCGACCCGUACGGGUAGGUACGGACCCGGCCCGACCGGUACGGUAAACCGUAACCGAAACGUAAGUAAGUUAGUUACGGACGUUAGAGGACGUUACGCCGGACGGACGACGACGACGGGAGGGUUAGGG
rnacentral:rRNA from 1 species